GCUCAAAGUUAGGUAGCAAAUUCCACAAU
rnacentral:piRNA from 1 species